GGGCUUGGGUCUGGUGGGGGGGCAGACUGUAACCGCGAAACUGCGAAUGGCUCAUUAAAUCAGUUAUAGUUUAUUUGAUAGUACCUUACUACAUGGAUAACCGUGGUAAUUCUAGAGCUAAUACAUGCUAAAAACCCCGACUUCGGAAGGGGUGUAUUUAUUAGAUUAAAAACCAAUGCCCUUCGGGGCUAACUGGUGAUUCAUAAUAACUUCUCGAAUCGCAUGGCCUUGCGCUGGCGAUGGUUCAUUCAAAUUUCUGCCCUAUCAACUUUCGACGGCUGGGUCUUGGCCAGCCAUGGUGACAACGGGUAACGGAGGGUUAGGGCUCGACCCCGGAGAAGGAGCCUGAGAAACGGCUACUACAUCCAAGGAAGGCAGCAGGCGCGCAAAUUACCCAAUCCCGACACGGGGAGGUAGUGACAAUAAAUACUGAUACAGGGCUCUUUUGGGUCUUGUAAUUGGAAUGAGUACAAUUUAAAUCCCUUAACGAGGAACAAUUGGAGGGCAAGUCUGCCCCC
rnacentral:rRNA from 1 species